rfam:Anopheles merus strain MAF unplaced genomic scaffold supercont2.26, whole genome shotgun sequence.
AAACAUAUUACGUUUCUAGCUGAUUGGAGCUGGCAAUCUGUUCUAGAGCGCCUUUUCCAUUUGCAAGAUGACCCUAUACGAGGCAUUUGUCUGAUAUAACA